rnacentral:misc_RNA from 1 species
CAAUAUUUUAACAAACUUAGGCAUGAGCUCAAUAUUCUUGAUUCUAGGAACUUCUUUUGUUAAAAUUGCACACAUUGCUCUUUUAUAUAUCUUUGAUCAUGUCUCUUUUAUAUGCUAUGACUAAUGUGUUGUCAAGUCUAUUUCAAACCAAGUCAUAGGUAUAUUGAAAGGGAAUUGGAGUCUUCGGCGAAGACAAAGGCUUCCACUCCGUCACUCAUACUUCGCCAUCACUCCAAGCAACUCUCUAUUCCUUGGGGAGAAAUGAGCAUCCGGGAAAAGGACCUCGCCUUUGGGGGAGAAAGGAGCCCAAAGCAAAAGGACCGCACCACCACCAAAUUCAAAAACUUAAUGCUUUCCAAAAGUAUUUUUCAAUUGGUAUCCUAUUGUGUUCAAAAGGAAAAGAAAAUUAGUUUUUCAAAAAUGUAUAUCAAAACCCUCUUGAACACUAAGAGGAGGAUCUCCUUUAGGGGGAGUUUUGUUUAGUCAAAAGAAAAGCAUUUGAAACAGGGGGAGAAAAUUUCAAAUCUUGAAAAUGCUUUGCAAAAAUCUUAUUCAUUUACCUUUGACUAUUUGCAAAAGAUCUUCGAAAUGAAUUUACAAAAAGAAUUUGCAAAAAUAAAACAUGUGGUGCAAGCGUGGUCCAAAAUGCUAAAUAAAGAAAGAAACAUUCCAUGCAUAUCUUGUAAGUAUUUAUAUUGGCUCAAUUCCAAGCAACCUUUUCACUUACAUUAUGCAAACUAGUUUAAUUAUGCAUCUCUAUAUUUGCUUUGGUUUGUGUUGGCAUCAAUCACCAAAAAGGGGGAGAUUGAAAGGGAAUUAGGGUUACACCUAGUUCCUAUAUAAUUUUGGUGGUUGAAUUGCCCAACACAAAUAAUUGGACUAACUAGUUUGCCCAAGUGUGUAGAUUAUACAGGUGUAAAAGGUUCACCCUCAGCCAAUAAAAGGACCAAGUUUUGGAUUCAAUAAAGGAGCAAAGGGGCAACCGAAGGCACCCCUGGUCUGGCGCACCGGACUGUCCGGUGUGCCACCGGACAGUAAACAGUACCUGUCCGGUGCACCAGGGGACUCAGACUCAAACUCGCCACCUUCGGGAAUUUCCAGGGCGACUCGGCUAUAAUUCACCGGACUGUCCGGUGUACACCGGACAGUGUCCGGUGCGCCAAGGGAGGUCAGCCUCAGGAACUCGCCAGCUUCGGGAAAAGCCAACGGCUCGUCCGCUAUAAUUCACCGGACUGUCCGGUGUGCACCGGACUGUCCGGUGCGACUCCGGAGCAACGGUCAUCUCCGCGCCAACGGCUCUCUGCCACGCAUUUAAUGCGCGCUCUGCGCGCGCAGAAGUCAGAAUCGCCCAUGCUGGCACACCAGACAGCAAACAGUACCUGUCCGGUGUGCACCGGACAUCCGGGCGGGCCCACAAGUCAGAAGCUCCAACGGUCAGAAUCCAACGGCAAUGAUGACGUGGCAGGGGGCACCGGACUGUCCGGUGUGCACCGGACUGUCCGGUGCGCCAUCGAACAGACAGGAUUCCCAACGGCCACAUUUAGUGGUUGGGGCUAUAAAUACCCCAACCACCCCACCAUUCAUUGUAUCCAAGUUUUCCACUUCUCAACUACUACAAGAGCUCUAGCAUUCAAUUCUAGACACACUAAAGAGAUCAAAUCCUCUCCAAUUCCACACAAAGCCCUAGUGACUAGUGAGAGUGAUUUGCCGUGUUCAUUUGAGCUCUUGCGCUUGGAUUGCUUCUUUUCUUUCUCACUUGUUCUUGAGAUCACAACUCCAUUGUAAUCAAGGCAAGAGGCACCAAUUGUGUGGUGGCCCUUGCGGGAAAGUUUUGUUCCCGGCUUUGAUUUGAGAAGAGAAGCUCACUCGGUCCGAGGGACCGUUUGAGAGAGGGAAGGGUUGAAAGAGACCCGGCCUUUGUGGCCUCCUCAACGGGGAGUAGGUUUGCAAGAACCGAACCUCGGUAAAACAAAUCUCCGUGUCUCACUUGCUUAUUCGCUUGGGAUUUGUUUUGCGCCCUCUCUAGCGGACUCGUUUCUUUAUUACUAACGCUAACCCGGCUUGUAGUUGUGUUUAUAUUUGUAAAUUUCAGUUUCGCCCUAUUCACCCCCCCUCUAGGCGACUAUCAACCGCGAAGUAGUGUUUGAAGAUGAGGAAUGCCCUAUUACUCAAGCAGACUUACAAAGGUGGUUUGUUGAUGAUUGGGAUAAAAGAACUCCUGUCAAAGUCUCGACUGAUGGGUGCACCAAUGACUUUUUAAUGGGUGGUCUUUCCACAAAGGAUAUACCAGUGACCAAAGCCGAUCUAAUAGAUGUUCUAUGUGAUUAUAUCAUGGCAAUCCAAGACGAUACGACACUAGAGAUGACAUGGGUGCGAAGUUUCAACCCUUUUAAGAUAGAAAUAUCUGUCAAAGACCUGCAAAACAUAUUAAUGAUAAAUCAAGAUAUGACUCUAAGAUGUUUUGGCAUGGUCAUUCGGCUGCUUGCCAAUAAAGAGUCAUGUAGACCGAAAGGAGAAAUCAUAAAGAAUAUAAAACAUUAUAUGGACAUACGUUUCUGGAGAACGGUUGGUUUUGGUAAACUUCCAAAGUACCAUCAGGACCCUACAACAGAAGACUUAGCCAAAACACUCGAUUGUUGGUCAUCAAUGAAUUAUUAUAUCAUGAGAUGUAGAUAUGUUCUUUUGCCAUGGAAAUUUAACGGAUGUUACACCCUUUUCAUAAUAGAUCAUGUUAAAAAGCAUGUGACUUUUAUCAACUUUACACCGACUCAAGAUUGGUAUAAGCACAUGCCAACAAGAGGUUCGCAGAAACGAUUAUCAUGGCCUCAAAGAAAUAUAAGAUUGCCUACAACAAGAAACGUUCUGGAUGGGCAGGGGAUAUUUUUAAGUGGGAACAUACAAUUCGGACUGGUAUUCCAAUUGACUUAAGAGGGUUAAUACCAGCUAACUCGUUCUACAAGCUAUGACCAUGUGGGGGAAUGACAUACGAAUGGAAUUUAUUAGGGAUGCAAAGAUUCUUCGAAGGAACUUUCUGAUUGAUCUGUUAAGUUAUGAGGAAAUUUUGUGCCGAUAUGUCAUCCCUGCAACAUACAAUAGCGACUUAUCGAUAUCGCUAAAAAGGAUUAGAUUAAUAUCUAUUCAGUAUUUAAUCAUGAAGUCUGUUGAUCGCCCGCCCAGUAAUCCAAAAAGAUUAACCAUUGAAUCCAGUCAGGAGGUUUUUUCAAUUGAUAUUUCCAGACGUACAAGAUCCAGCAGCUUAGCUCACCAAGAUGAUAUUCCCCAAAAUCAGGAGCAGAAUGAGCCACAGCCAGCCCCUAUCCAUCGUUUUCGCAGAAAGGCGUUAGCUUGUCGUUUAAAAAGAAAACCUCCUGUUCCAUCCACACUGUCCGACGACGAUUUCAUGGAUGCUCCAUCGUUGAAGCGCCAAUUCAGAUCUGCCUCACCUUCUCCUUCAGAACAAAUCAGUGCAAAGAAGUUAAAAGUACCUUCUCCUCAAGUUCCUUGCGUGAAAAGAAGUCCAAAGUCUAAUAUCAUUACAAAAAAAAACUCUCCUAAACAGAAGACUCCUAGAAAAUCACAGAAACUGAAUAUCCGCUGCAUUCCCUAUGAUGUUAUUGUAUCAUCUUGGAUAAUGAGCGAUCGGCAGCGCGAUGCUGUCGCUAGGUUGGGAUUUUCAAGCAUAUUUGAUUUGCGAACUGAUGCCUUAGAGAGCAGAUCACUCAUCAGGUGGUUGAUGGAUAAAUUGGAUCCACAUGACAUGACCAUACGCCCAGGGGAUGGCAAGGAACUAAAGAUAACAAAAGAUACGGUUCAUCUGAUUUUGGGUUUGCCAUGUGCUGGAGGAGGCAGGGAGU